GGCUCUGUAGCUAAGUCGAUAAAGUACUAGUGUAGCAUAUAAGGGUCGUGAGUUGAAAUCUCACUUGAGCUG
rnacentral:tRNA from 1 species